rnacentral:rRNA from 1 species
GACGAACGCUGGCGGCGUGCCUAAUACAUGCAAGUCGAACGCUUUUUCUUUCACCGGAGCUUGCUCCACCGAAAGAAAAAGAGUGGCGAACGGGUGAGUAACACGUGGGUAACCUGCCCAUCAGAAGGGGAUAACACUUGGAAACAGGUGCUAAUACCGUAUAACACUAUUUUCCGCAUGGAAGAAAGUUGAAAGGCGCUUUUGCGUCACUGAUGGAUGGACCCGCGGUGCAUUAGCUAGUUGGUGAGGUAACGGCUCACCAAGGCAACGAUGCAUAGCCGACCUGAGAGGGUGAUCGGCCACACUGGGGCUGAGACACGGCCCAGACUCCUACGGGAGGCAGCAGUAGGGAAUCUUCGGCAAUGGACGAAAGUCUGACCGAGCAACGCCGCGUGAGUGAAGAAGGUUUUCGGAUCGUAAAACUCUGUUGUUAGAGAAGAACAAGGAUGAGAGUAAAACGUUCAUCCCUUG